rnacentral:tmRNA from 1 species
GGUCUGCAGGGUCUUGAACUCGUCCGCUUCUGGCCCCAUAAUACUGAACAUGGUCGUAAUCCCGGCGAACCGGAGGCAUUCUGGACGCGGGUUCGAUUCCCGCCACCUCCACCACUACGGGGGUGUACUGGCUUCGACAGGGUGAAGCAAGGCAAGCAGGCGACCCGAGAGGCGACGGACGUAAUCCGCGCAAAUCAAUAAACGCCAACGAUGAGCGUUUCGCACUGGCCGCUUGAGGCCUGCUGAGGACAUAGCCUUCCGAUAAACAGAAUGGCUAUCGACGGGGGCUUCGGCCCCCGUCGCU